rnacentral:tRNA from 1 species
UCCCAGGUGGCUCAGUAGUAAAGAAUCUGCCUGCCAAUGCAGGAGAUACAGGUUUGAUCCCUGUGUUGGGAA